rnacentral:misc_RNA from 1 species
GAAAUGCGAUAAGAAUGUGAAUUGCAGAAUUCAGUGAAUCAUCGAAUCUUUGAACGCACAUUGCGCCCGCCAGUAUUCUGGCGGGCAUGCCUGUUCGAGCGUCAUUACAACCCUCAGGCCCCCGGGCCUGGCGUUGGGGAUCGGCGGAAGCCCCCUGCGGGCACAACGCCGUCCCCCAAAUACAGUGGCGGUCCCGCCGCAGCUUCCAUUGCGUAGUAGCUAACACCUCGCAACUGGAGAGCGGCGCGGCCACGCCGUAAAACACCCAACUUCUGAAUGUUGACCUCGAAUCAGGUAGGAAUACCCGCUGAACUUAAGC